CGGAAACCUGCAGGCAUCCAGCGUCCUGGCGAAUGUCGUUACAGCGCAGCUAAAGCUCACGGUGUAUGAUGAAGACUUCAAAGUAUUUGUAGAUGUCCCAGAUGACUUUGUCAUUAUCGACAAACUUAAAUUGCAACUAAAAGAAGUGAGCGAGUACCGAGUUGUGGAUGUUUUGGACGUUGAAGUAGCACAAAUGCCGCUGCAGCUAGCACCUACACUUACGUCAUACACACUCCCACCAGUACCGCUGGACAUCCAAAUGGCUGUUGAG